CAUGUGGUUUAAUUCGAUCGAUACGCGAGGAACCGUUACCUGGGCUCGAACGUAAGAUGACUGUAGGUGAAAGCUUACAUCUCUUCGGAGCAUUUUACGAGGUGCUGCAUGGUUGUCGUCAGCUCGUGCCGUGAGGUGUCGGGUUAAGUCCCAUAACGAGCGCAACCCUAUCUUUAGUUGCCAUCAGGUAAUGCUGGGGACUCUAAAGGAACUGCCUACGCAAGUAGUGAGGAAGGCGGGGAUGACGUCAAAUCAGCACGGCCCUUACGUCCAGGGCUACACACGUGCUACAAUGGCCGAUACAGAGGGCAGCUACCUGGUGACAGGAUGCAAAUCUCCAAAGUCGGUCUCAGUUCGGAUCGGAGUCUGCAACCCGACUCCGUGAAGUUGGAUUCGCUAGUAAUCGCGCAUCAGCCAUGGCGCGGUGAAUACGUUCCCGGGCCUU
rnacentral:rRNA from 1 species